rnacentral:rRNA from 1 species
CACUGCCGAGAAAAGCCUCUAGAUAGAAAAUAGGUGCCCGUACCGCAAACCGACACAGGUAGUCAAGAUGAGAAUUCUAAGGUGAGCGAGCGAACUCUCGUUAAGGAACUCGGCAAAAUGACCCCGUAACUUCGGGAGAAGGGGUGCUCUUUAGGGUUAACGCCCAGAAGAGCCGCAGUGAAUAGGCCCAAGCGACUGUUUAUCAAAAACACAGGUCUCUGCUAAACCGUAAGGUGAUGUAUAGGGGCUGACGCCUGCCCGGUGCUGGAAGGUUAAGAGGAGUGGUUAGCUUCUGCGAAGCUACGAAUCGAAGCCCCAGUAAACGGCGGCCGUAACUAUAACGGUCCUAAGGUAGCGAAAUUCCUUGUCGGGUAAGUUCCGACCCGCACGAAAGGCGUAACGAUUUGGGCACUGUCUCAACGAGAGACUCGGUGAAAUCAUAGUACCUGUGAAGAUGCAGGUUACCCGCGACAGGACGGAAAGACCCCGUGGAGCUUUACUGUAGCCUGAUAUUGAAAUUCGGCACAGCUUGUACAGGAUAGGUAGGAGCCU